CGGUGCUAUGCUCUGUGGAAGAUGAAAACAUGCUUAAAACCCGACACGCCCCCUUGUGGAGCUUACAUUAAUAAUAUCUAGCUAUAUUAAUAUUAUCUAGCUAGUAUUUACUAAGCACUAUGUCGGGAAAUGUUCUGACAUUUAUUAGAGUUCAAAAGAAUUCCAUGAGAUGAAAAAUCAAAGCUCCAAAGAUUACAUAAUAAGCCAGAGACAGAGCUGGAAGGAGAGGGUCAGAUCCCUUGACGACCUGCUUCAAAGCCCAUCAUUCUACACAGCAGGCUGAAAACUGAAGAAGACCCCCCAAGAUUGUAUAUAUCUACAAACCCUGGAUCUGCUCACUUUCUGCUUGCAAACCCAUCACCGUGGCAAGCCAUGCAGCAAAGCAGGGCUUGGACCCAUGACCCCAG